UACGAAGGGGGCUAGCGUUGCUCGGAAUCACUGGGCGUAAAGCGCACGUAGGCGGAUUGUUAAGUCAGGGGUGAAAGCCUGGAGCUCAACUCCAGAACUGCCCUUGAUACUGGCAAUCUCGAGUCCGGAAGAGGUAAGUGGAACUCCGAGUGUAGAGGUGAAAUUCGUAGAUAUUCGGAAGAACACCGGUGGCGAAGGCGGGUCUCUGGGCCGAUACUGACGCUGAGGAGCGAAAGCGUGGGGAGCGAACAGG
rnacentral:rRNA from 1 species